rnacentral:lncRNA from 1 species
ACCUGAUCCUCAAGUUCAUACUUCAAUGGUAUUUGGAAUUGGGGCCUUGGGGAGGUGACUGGGAUUAGAUUAGGUCAUGAGAGUGGGCCCUUGAUGGGGUUGGUGGCUUUAUAAGAAGAGGAAGAGACCUCCCAGCUCUGUUGCCCUUGGGCUGCCUCCACCACAUUAGGAUGCAGCAGAGAAGCCUCUCCAGAUGCCCAGCAGGUGUUGGCACCAAGCCCCGGGCCUCCCGGCCUUCAUAACUAAGAACCAAAUAAAAUGUAGUCAAGUAUUUUGCAAUAGCAACAGAGAACAAGGACAGUUCCCACUGACCCCUGUUCAUACAUUUGUUGGUGUGUAUUUUCCUAUUUAGUGGCGACACCACCCAAAGGUAUAGGCAAUGUCUGCGGGGAAAAGAGAGACUCAGAGAGAAGCAAGACCUCACAGCACAGCGAGAGCUCAGAUCCCAGCCAUCUGCUCCAGGUGCAGCUGAUGAUGGAGUCACCAGCCAGCCACGCCACCUCCCUCCUUCUGCCACUGGUACUCAUCUGCUGAAGGUCUAGGGUCCCUAGCCGUGUCUCAAAGCAGGGACGCUUCUGAAGAAACAUAGCCUGAGUUCAGAUAGCCGCAUUCUUCCCUGGGAAAGAAGGGCCAGCAGUUCCACCACUAACAGGGAUUUCAUUUCCCCUAGCAUUAAACCUGACCUCGCAAAGCCCUACACAGCCAGGCCAGCCAGAGGAAAGAAGACCUCCCGGUUCAAUGUCCCAUACUAUAUCGGGACACACUUAUUACUCACUUUUGAUCUGAAAUUUAAAUCAAAUUGGGCAUUCGGUAUUUUCAUUUGCUAAAUCUGGCAACACUAAUGUCUAAGCAAGAAGGGGAUUGUGUGUCCACUCUGCUCCAAGGAGCUGACCUCAUCCAAGGGAGGUUUUUCUUCCAUGCCAUCGACCAUCCUGCUCACCUAGACAGGAGCUGGGGUACUACUGGGAGGCCGAGGCGAGAGUCCCAGAAAACCUCAGGGUCCUGGGUUUACUCAGGCUGCUUGGGAGGGAUUUUCUGGAAUCCACUUGACAGACACCACGGGGAAGAAGGAUUAAGAGGAGAGCAGAAGAGGCUUCAGGACGCCUCUCUGGAGGCCCCACGGGAAGUCCUGGAGUAAGAUUGUAAGUGUGACUGUUCCCUCUUAGAGAUGGGCUGCAAAUGUGGGAGCCACCCAACCUGGGCCAGGUCCUGGCUGAAACAGGAAAUACCGCUUCAUCUUGAGAAAACAGUGGUUUAUGCUGUUUAUUGAACACCUGCUGUGUACCUACCAUGAUGAGCACCACUAACCCUCAGGCCAACACCUUAGACCCUGGGCCAGGGGUCAGGCUUCUGUUUGCUGUGAGGACAGCACGCAAGGCCCUGGUGGCCUGAGGAUGGCAGGAAAGAGAAAGUGGAGGGGUCUCUCCCCCAGGGACAAUUGGGACCCUAGCCAGGGCGAGGGCAGGAGCAGGUUCUGGGAGCACAAAUGAGAGCUUCAGAAUCAUGCUCAGCCAUCAAAAAUAGCAUCAAGCGCCAAUUUCGUGCCAGGCAUGGUUGCUAAGAGACUUCACCAGCGUCAGUCAUCUCAAGGCCACGCUGUGACGCCAGUUGGAUUGUGAGCAGCAUUUUGCAGAUGAGAGGAGCACAGCAAGGACCUGUAUUGGGUGCCCAAGACCAUCCAAUGGGCAAGAGAACUGGGACUUAAGGCCAGGUCUUCCCAGAGCAGAGAGGCCCCGGCAGGCCAGCACCCCGCCUGGGCAGGCCAGCACCCCACCUGGGCAGGUCAGGACUGCAGUGUUCGUUUCCUAUUGCUGCUAGAAAUCUCUAGAGCCUCAUGGCUGAACAGCCCAGAUUUACCAUCUCAAGUUCUGAACUACAGUUCGGUGGUCCCUGAUGGGUCUCACAGGGCCGAGUCAGGGUAGCAGGGCCUGGCCUCCCCCGGGUGCUGACUUAGGCUCCACCUCUGUCUCUGCAGGAUGCAGCUCUGGGGAGGCUGAUCUCACCCCUGCAGCUCCCGUGGGUCUGGGGUCAAGGGCCUUCCCCUGCAGCAGUGGUCAGAUCUCUCUCUCUUUAGGCUCCGGGUUCCUCCUCAUGGCCCAGCCUCUGCAGGCCGGAGGACCCGGUACUUAGUCUCUGGACAUCUGGGCUUCUCCUGCUCCAUUUACUUCCCAAGUGACCAGAGCCAGAUCUAGGGGUUAAGCUCCACGCCCACCAGUGGGUCCCCACCCUGGCUGCACAGCAGAAUGGCGCAGAGAUCUUUAAAACCCACGGCCCUCGUGCCUGGAGGGGCUUCAUCAGACUGAUGGCACUGGCCUCUGUGGGAUUUUUUUUUCUUUUAACAAUUAAUUAACUUGUAAGUUAUCAUAUGGUAAAUUUUUUCUUCUUCUGGUGCACAGUUCUAUGAAUUUUAGUGCGUGCGUAGAUUUGUGAAAACACCAACACCAUCUGGAUAUAGCACAGUUUCACACCCUGAGAACACUU